GGAAUGGUGGUGUACCCGGUGUGCACGUCUGCCUGAAGCGCAGAAGGUAUUCGUUCAAUUCGGAUCCGUUCCA
rnacentral:tRNA from 2 species